rnacentral:ncRNA from 1 species
AAAUUAGUUAUGGUUUAUUAUUAUAUUAUAUAAAAUACUUAUGGAAUUUAAUGAGAAUUUCCAGGUAAGAAACUUUAUUAUAAUUAUGAAAAUAAGAAUAAGUUAUUAUAAUACUAGUUGACAAAUAAAGUGCCAGCAGUCGCGGUUAUACUUUAAUCAAAAUAAUUUAAAUAAGUUAAAUACACAUAUAUUAUAAUAAAACUCUUGUAGUGGUAAAAUAUACACAGUUAUAUAAAAUUACUAUUAUAAUUUAAUAAAUAAAUACAAAAAAAUAAACAAGGAUUAGAUACCCUUUUAUACUGUACUCAAUAUGUAUUAACUGAGGACUAAAGCUUUAAGAGAGCUAAAACUUAAAUAACAUGGCGGUAAUAGAAAUUUAGGGGAACUUACCAUAUAAUUUGAUAACCCCCAAGGAAAUUAACUUUAAUUUAAAUUUUGUAUGCCGUCGUCGAGAUAAAAUUUUAAAUAUUAUCGAAAUUAAUAAAUUUAUUAAACUUGACAGAUCAAGGUGCAAACUAAACUAAAGAUAUUGGCGAGUUACAAUUUAAUAUGUAAACGAAUUAGGAUAAUCGUAAUAACCUAUAAAGAAGGACUUAACAGUAAAAUUCAUUAAGUAUAAAUAUUGAAGAAUAAUUCUAUUGUGUACAAAUCGCCCGUCACUCUUGAGGAAACUUAAGAUAAGUCGUAACAUAGUAGGCGUAGCGGAAGCUGCACCU